rnacentral:lncRNA from 1 species
GCAUACGUGCAGCCAGAACUCUAUUAUAUAUAUAUAUAUCUUUUUAAAGACACUAAACAACAGGAAGAUACCCCCAAAGUAUUUUAAACAUCUUGUUUUAUUUGCUUAACUCUUCAAAUUUCCUCUUAUGGUUGAUUUCUAAUUCAAUUCAAUUAUCAGAGGACAUACUUUCUGAAAUUCAAAUUUAAAAAUAUACUAAUACUUGUUUUUAUACUCUGUAUAGAAGAAUAUAUAUUCUACCAUUAUAGAAGUCCAUUAAAGAUACUUGUUCAUUUAUAGAAUUAUUUACACCACCUAGGUGAUCUUUUCUACUUGAUCUUUCACAACAGCAUAUCCAUUAUUAAAAUCAUGUAUGUGUAUGUUAAAUAAAAAUAAAUAAGAGUUAUCUAGGGAAAGAAAGAAUAAACAGGAAAGGUUAUGGGUAUGAAAAGGGAGGUAAGUGGGAUAGGGUCGGGGGUAGAAUAUGCUCAUCAAAGAAUAUAUGACGUCAAAGAAUAUAUAUCUUUUUAAAAAGAAAUUUCUUCUUCUUCUUCUUCUUCUUCUUCUUCUUCUUCUUCUUCUUCUUCUUCUUCUUCUUCUUCUUCUUCUUCUUCUUUUUCUUCUCUUCCUCCUCCUCCUCCUCCCCCUCCUUUUCUCCUUCUCUUCCUUCACCUCCUCCUCAUUCUUCCUGUAUUAUUUGGAUUCCUAAAAUUGUGUAUUUUUUUGUUUAAUGUACUUUGAGAGUCGGGGGACAUGUGUAUCUAUAUUUAUAAUUGCUAGUGGUUUUGAGUGGAGAGUUUCUUUUAACUUCAAGAUACCUUUUAUAGUAAUAACAUUUUAAAAUGUAAAUUUGGUUCCAAUUUAUUUUUAAACAUUGUCUUGAUUUGUAGCCAAGCUUGGAACUGUUUUCACAAUAUUCUUGCUAUAGCCUACUGAGAGCUGAGAUUACAAGUGUGCACCAACAUGCCUUGCUAUAUUGUUUCUGAUUUAAAAUAGUUUCUUCAUUUUUUUUGCUUUCUUAUUUUUAACAACUAAUUGUACAGGCUAUCAUCUACAUUUUUACUCUCUACCUACUUAUGUCUUUAAAUUUAAAGUCUCUUUUGAUACACAUAGUAUAUGCUUUGAUAUUUUUCUUCUAUCAUAUUAAGUGUGGUUUAAUCAUUAUCUGCUUUUAGUUAAUAUCAUAACUGAUAGUAAAGAAUUUAGUGCUAUUGUUUUGCCACUUGUUUUUCAUGUUUUUUAUUUUUCAUUGCUCUCUACAUUUUCCAUAAUGAAUAUUUUUUAGCAUUCCACUUUAGUUCCUUUGCAUUUUAAUAGAUUUUUACAUUUACAUAGAGAAGUUUUGGGUUUAUAAAAAAAAAAACCUAAGUAGAAGUCGCUUUAGUGAGAUUUAGUAUGCAAAACACCGAAAUCAACCAACCAAACAUACC